rnacentral:rRNA from 1 species
GUAGGUGGCAAGCGUUGUCGGGAAUUAUUGGGCGUAAAGCGCGCGCAGGCGGUCCUUUAAGUCUGAUGUGAAAGCCCACGGCUCAACCGUGGAGGGUCAUUGGAAACUGGGGGACUUGAGUACAGAAGAGGAAAGCGGAAUUCCAAGUGUAGCGGUGAAAUGCGUAGAGAUUUGGAGGAACACCAGUGGCGAAGGCGGCUUUCUGGUCUGUAACUGACGCUGAGGCGCGAAAGCGUGGGGAGCAAACAGGAUUAGAUACCCUGGUAGUCCACGCCGUAAACGAUGAGUGCUAAGUGUUAGGGGGUUUCCCGCCCCCCUUAGUGCUGCAGCUAACGCAUUAAGCACUCCGCCUGGGGAGUACGGCCGCAAGGCUG